rnacentral:rRNA from 1 species
AACCCAAAAGAUCGAAUGGGGAGAUUCAUCGUCAGCGUGAUAUGGCGCUUGUGCGGUUCGCGAUGCCGGGGACCUCGGUCUCAAGGCACGCGUCCGCAUGGUUUUUUGCCUGUCAUCGUCGGCGUGCACUUCUCCCCUAGUAGGACGUCGCGACCCGUUGGGUGUCGGUCUACGGCCCGGGUGGUAGCCUGUCAUGUGUUACGUGCUUGCGCGUCAUGUGGCAGACCCCCGGUUGUCUGACCAGCUGCUCGGCGGUACUCGCACGGUAUCGAGCCGCAAAUUGAACUGCGUCCGGCCCGUCGCAAGCGAGGUCAGUGUUUACCCGGAUGUACGGACCUAGCGCCGUCACCGGGCCUGACCAGCUGUUGGUUGAUGGUGCUCUGGGACUGGCUCUUAUGAUUACCGGUCAGCGACGCUACUGCUUUGGGUACUUUCAGGACCCGUCUUGAAACACGGACCAAGGAGUCUAACAUGUGCGCGAGUCAUUGGGACGAUGUAAAGCCUAAAGGCGCAAUGAAAGUGAAGGUCGGCCUUGCGCCGACCGAGGGAGGAUGGGCCGCGUCACGAUGCGGUCCCGCACUCCCGGGGCGUCUCGUUCUCAUUGCGAGAAGAGGCGCACCCAGAGCGUACACGUUGGGACCCGAAAGAUG